AGUUGACCUCUGUAGACUUGACCUGUGUAGUUGAUCUGCACAGAGGUGACCCACUUCGAGUUGGCCUGUGUAGAGCUGACCCAUGUAGAGUUGACCCAUGUAGAGUUGACCCAUGUAGAGUUGACCUGCAUAGAGUUGACCCACCUUGUCCCACGUAGAGUUGUCCCACCCCAUCACCUUGGGGAGCUGCCUGGGACAGCGAGCAGAACCAGGAGGUGGCUCCUUGGGUGCUGAGCUUGUCCAGCAGUGGGGAGAAGAGCCUCUGGGGCUUUCCUGCUCCCCCUCCUCCUGGGGGGGGUGGGUCCCACAGGGACCCUGGUGCCCACUCCCCAUGCCCAUGGAGCACUGGGGGGUGCAGAUGACACCCACACCACGCUCAUGGCUGUGAGCUCAACCCCAUCCCAGGAAGAGAUGGGGUCACCUUGGGACUGUGUCCCCCCCCCCCAUAUCCCUCCCCAUCCCCCCCCCCAUCUCCAUCCCUGCUUCUGCCCCCCACCCAGGGGGGGGUUGUGCUGAUCCCAACCCCCCCGGGAUCAAGCUCCACCAAGAAGCCCAACAGCCAUAAAGAAGCUCCGUGGGGGAUGAUAACACCUUUGGGGUCUCCCCAGCAGCUGAAACGGGGGGUUUUGCUCUGUCUCUGUGUGUGUGUGUGUGUGUCCCACCCCCAAAAACUCUCCCCCCCACCCCCCCAAACCCACCCAUUCCCGUGGUUUCCCCGGCAGUGACGUGGCUGUGGAGCUGCCCUUCACCCUGAUGCAUCCCAAGCCCAAGGAGGAGCCAACACACCGGGACGCUCCAGAGAACGAAGCACCCAUAGAUACAAACCUGAUAGAGCUUGACACAAAUGACGACGACAUCGUGUUCGAGGACUUCGCCCGCCAGCGGCUCAAGGGGAUGAAGGACGACAAGGAGGAUGAGGAGGAGAGGACAAACUCCCCCCAGCUCAACGACAGAUAAGCGAGCCCCCCCCCCCAUUCCUCCCUGGGCCACCCCACCCCCCUAUUCCAAGCUCGCCAGCACCGCGUUCGGCUUCUUGUGUUGUUUGGUUUCUGGUUUUUUUGUUGGGUUUUUUUUUUUUUUGAAUUCGUUUUAUAUUUUUUGGUUCAUUUUGUAUGAUUCUUCCCCGGGGGGGGGAGGGGGUUUUCCUGCCUCCCCCCGGGGGAUCCCCCGGCCCUGAGAACCUUCCAGCUGUGCCCUCUGGUUCACUCUUCAUCCAGCUGCUGUUCUCUCCUUGGGCAGGGCAUGGCUGGGGUAGGGGGGGCUGCCGGGUGGGGUGGGUUUUGGGGGGCGCUGCAGCCUGCCCCCCCCCAUCCCACCCCCUCCCCAUCCAGCCCUUUUCCACCCCCCCCUCCCCACUCCCCCCCUGCACUCGGAGCCCUUUCCCACGAGCUGCCUCUUUUAUGUGUUUUCUACCAGUCCAGUCUGAACACCAGUUUGCUACUGGGGUGGGGAAAAGGAGGGGGGGGGGGGGGGAAGGGUUGCAGCAGAAUGGGGAGGGGGUGGGAGAAAAGGGGGUGAGGGGGGAGCGGGGGAGGGUCUUUCCUAGGCAACCUGCUGAUGGGGAGGGGUGCACCCGUUGCCCCUCAGCUGUCCCCCCCUGUCACCUCGCCCAGCCCUGCUGCACGUGUCCCUGCCCUGGGAUGCACGAGCCUGGCUUUGACCCUUGGAUCCUGCCCCAAAACCGAGACCCCCCCACCCCCACCCCCAGCCCCCCCAGCAAAGGCUUGAGCCGACACUGGGCUCUGGGCAUCAUUUCCCUUUGCUCUUACCCCCACGCCCCCCAUAAAACCACCAUCCCUGGGUGUGUGUGUGGGGGGGUGUUUAUUCUUCAGCUCCAUCAGUUUUUACACUGAGAAAGCCUCCCUGCCCGCUCAGGGCUGGGAGUUGCUGGGGGCCAGGGAAGGGCAGGGGGCUCGGGGGGUUGGGGGAGGAUGGACGCCCCCCCAAGGAGGGGGGCAGGACACACGUUCUUGCUCUGGGAGCAACUUCCAACAACACCCCCUCUCAGCCCAGCAGGGUCACGGCAGUGCAGCCUUGUUCCCUGACACCAGGGGGGCUUUGUUUUGUCCCCCCCAGCCCCCCAAGCUCCCCUGCUUGAUCUUUCCCACCCCCCUGCAUCCUCCCCCUCUUGGGGGGGGGAAGGGGAACACAGUGUUUGACACCCCCCCUUGAUGUUUCACCAGAUACUUGGGGCCUCCUGGCUCAGUGGUGCCCCUCCUGGGUCCCUUCUAGGACCCUCCCGACCCCCACCAGGGUCUCCUUUUUUCUUGGGGGGGGGGUGUGUCUCCCUCCACCCACCAAGAGGCUGUUCUCACUAUUUAUUGUGCCCUUGAGGUCAGCAUUGUCAUCUGAGAGCAACCCGGGGGGGUGGGUGGCUCCAUCCCUCCCCUGUCCAGGGAGGGGGUGCAGGGCUGAGUGUCAUGUCAUGUGUGUGUCCCCCCCCUUGUCGUCCCCCCCCCCCCCAUUAUUUUGGGGUGAAGCUGAUGGGCAGCGUGGUACUUCUGAUUUUUGAUGAUGAUGAUGAUGAUUUUUUUGUUUUUUGUAAAGUGGUUUCUUUGUACUGUUCCUUGAUAACCUGCUUCUUUGGUUUCCCCACCAUGAUCUGUGAUGUUUUCUGUGUUCUGUCAAAUAAAUUAUUCUAGUUUAUUAAACUCGGAACAAACAAAACAAAACAAAACAAAAAGCAAAAACAAAAUAAAAGAGAGUCCUGCCACCUGGAAA